CGCCGCGUGAGUGAAGAAGGGUUUCGGCUCGUAAAACUCUGUUGUUAAAGAAGAACAUAUCUGAGAGUAACUGUUCAGGUAUUGACGGUAUUUAACCAGAAAGCCACGGCUAACUACGUGCCAGCAGCCGCGGUAAUACGUAGGUGGCAAGCGUUGUCCGGAUUUAUUGGGCGUAAAGCGAGCGCAGGCGGUUUUUUAAGUCUGAUGUGAAAGCCUUCGGCUCAACCGAAGAAGUGCAUCGGAAACUGGGAAACUUGAGUGCAGAAGAGGACAGUGGAACUCCAUGUGUAGCGGUGAAAUGCGUAGAUAUAUGGAAGAACACCAGUGGCGAAGGCGGCUGUCUGGUCUGUAACUGACGCUGAGGCUCGAAAGUAUGGGUAGCAAACAGGAUUAGAUACCCUGGUAGUCCAUACCGUAAACGAUGAAUGCUAAGUGUUGGAGGGUUUCCGCCCUUCAGUGCUGCAGCUAACGCAUUAAGCAUUCCGCCUGGGGAGUACGGCCGCAAGGCUGAAACUCAAAGGAAUUGACGGGGGCCCGCACAAGCGGUGGAGCAUGUGGUUUAAUUCGAAGCUACGCGAAGAACCUUACCAGGUCUUGACAUACUAUGCAAAUCUAAGAGAUUAGACGUUCCCUUCGGGAC
rnacentral:rRNA from 2 species